rnacentral:lncRNA from 13 species
GGGGAUAAUGUGAACUGAAGUGAGAGAACAUUUCGGUAAGAGGAGGAGGCAGAAAGAAGGGAGGAGGGAGAGAUAAGGUGUGUGAAAAGGAGAGGGAAAGCUAUGCAGCUGGCAAGACGCAGGAGAACAAGGAAAAUAGCAACGGAGGACAGAAGCAAGUGAAACUGCCUGCCAUCUUGACCACAAUGCACCUGACUAUAAACCUGCUCUGCCUGCUGGUCCUGACCUUUCACCUUGACCUGGCCAUGGGAGGAAGAUCCCAGCGCAAACAAAGGCAGGCUGAGGACAGUCUAAGACCAUACCUGGGAAGAGUGGACCCAGUCCAACUGUGUGAGCUGCUGAAGUGUCACAGUCCAAUGGGCUCCUGGUGCCAAGUGGUGCAGGACAACGAAGUCCUCGUCCCAAAGUGUGUGUGUCCGAAGACCUGCCCACGGCAGGGGGCACCAGUGUGCAGUGUUCUGGGAAAGACCUAUGGAAAUGAGUGUCUGCUGCAUAGAGAAGCCUGCCGCAAGAGACGUCGCAUUGGACUGGCUCAUAUAGGACCCUGUCUUGUUCCCAAGGCAAACUGCACAGAGGAGGAGUAUGGCCAAUUCCCAUACCGUCUAAUGGACUGGUUCCUCCUGUUAAGUCGUAUGGGAAAGUCUUAUGCCCCCUAUGCCCUGCCCCAGAGCUGCCUGAGCCAUACCCAGCGCACCCAACUAGCCCAGCGGCGGUUUUCCCUGCUGGACAAGAACAAGGACGGGAAGCUGAGCCAGAGGGACCUGAGGAAGUUGCGCUACAAGAGGAUGCCUCUCGAGCAAUGUGCUAACUUCUUCUUCCAACAUCCCCUGUGCCAAUCAGCCUUCUUCUGAGCCACGCUCUCCCUCUACUAACCAGUCCCCCCCCCCCCCCCCCCA